rnacentral:miRNA from 1 species
UUCUUCUCCAGAGUUGCCGAGG